AUGAACGCUAGCUACAGGCUUAACACAUGCAAGUCGAGGGGCAGCAUGGUCUUAGCUUGCUAAGACUGAUGGCGACCGGCGCACGGGUGAGUAACACGUAUCCAACCUGCCGUCUACUCUUGGACAGCCUUCUGAAAGGAAGAUUAAUACAAGAUGGCAUCAUGAGUCCGCAUGUUCACAUGAUUAAAGGUAUUCCGGUAGACGAUGGGGAUGCGUUCCAUUAGAUAGUAGGCGGGGUAACGGCCCACCUAGUCUUCGAUGGAUAGGGGUUCUGAGAGGAAGGUCCCCCACAUUGGAACUGAGACACGGUCCAAACUCCUACGGGAGGCAGCAGUGAGGAAUAUUGGUCAAUGGGCGAGAGCCUGAACCAGCCAAGUAGCGUGAAGGAUGACUGCCCUAUGGGUUGUAAACUUCUUUUAUAAAGGAAUAAAGUCGGGUAUGGAUACCCGUUUGCAUGUACUUUAUGAAUAAGGAUCGGCUAACUCCGUGCCAGCAGCCGCGGUAAUACGGAGGAUCCGAGCGUUAUCCGGAUUUAUUGGGUUUAAAGGGAGCGUAGAUGGAUGUUUAAGUCAGUUGUGAAAGUUUGCGGCUCAACCGUAAAAUUGCAGUUGAUACUGGAUAUCUUGAGUGCAGUUGAGGCAGGCGGAAUUCGUGGUGUAGCGGUGAAAUGCUUAGAUAUCACGAAGAACUCCGAUUGCGAAGGCAGCCUGCUAAGCUGCAACUGACAUUGAGGCUCGAAAGUGUGGGUAUCAAACAGGAUUAGAUACCCUGGUAGUCCACACGGUAAACGAUGAAUACUCGCUGUUUGCGAUAUACAGUAAGCGGCCAAGCGAAAGCAUUAAGUAUUCCACCUGGGGAGUACGCCGGCAACGGUGAAACUCAAAGGAAUUGACGGGGGCCCGCACAAGCGGAGGAACAUGUGGUUUAAUUCGAUGAUACGCGAGGAACCUUACCCGGGCUUAAAUUGCAGAUGAAUUACGGUGAAAGCCGUAAGCCGCAAGGCAUCUGUGAAGGUGCUGCAUGGUUGUCGUCAGCUCGUGCCGUGAGGUGUCGGCUUAAGUGCCAUAACGAGCGCAACCCUUGUUGUCAGUUACUAACAGGUUCCGCUGAGGACUCUGACAAGACUGCCAUCGUAAGAUGUGAGGAAGGUGGGGAUGACGUCAAAUCAGCACGGCCCUUACGUCCGGGGCUACACACGUGUUACAAUGGGGGGUACAGAGGGCCGCUACCACGCGAGUGGAUGCCAAUCCCCAAAACCUCUCUCAGUUCGGACUGGAGUCUGCAACCCGACUCCACGAAGCUGGAUUCGCUAGUAAUCGCGCAUCAGCCACGGCGCGGUGAAUACGUUCCCGGGCCUUGUACACACCGCCCGUCAAGCCAUGGGAGCCGGGGGUACCUGAAGUGCGUAACCGCGAGGAGCGCCCUAGGGUAAAACUGGUGACUGGGGCU
rnacentral:rRNA from 1 species